GGGGCGUUUCAUAGAGAGGAGACAGUACAUGGGAAGCCACCAAGUCUAAAGGAAACAUGGCACCUUCUGAGAGGCUGAUAGUGCUUUGACAUGGCUGUAGCCUUGCUUAGAAUCAAUUUUCCAUCUAAAAUCUCUCUGUUCUCACUCUUACAACAAUGAAAAGCCAUUGAGCAGUAUCAGCUGGGCAUAGAUAACAUCGAGUUUGCAUUUUCAAAGAUCCUCCUGGUCAAAAUGUGGAGUUAGGAGUGUGGAUGAUGUCCAAGACAUUUGCAGUUUUCCAAGUGUAACAAGAUGCAAGCUUGCCAGAGAAAAGCCAAAAUUCCUGAAAAUUUUGGAAUGUUUUUGAGCACACGGGACUUCACCUUAUACAUGGAGAUGAUGGAAAGUGAAAAAUUGAAGAUGACACCUGGAAUAGGGUCUCAGGCAAUCAGUUUGAGCUUUGUAGGCAUCCAGAGAAAAUAAGAGAUGUCUGAUGAUUAGGCGAGAACUUGAGGCUGAGGACAUAUCAUCAUACUACACAGUUGACCCUUGAACAAUAAGAAUUGGAACUGUGUGAGUCCACUUAUACGUGGAUUUUCUUCUGCCUCUGCGACUCCUGAGACAGCAAAACCAACCCUUCCUCUUCCUCUUCAGCCUACUCAACAUGAAGACAAGGAGGAUGAAGAGUUUUGUGAUAAUCCACUUCCACUUAAUGAAUACAGUUGGAGUCCAUCUUCAAGAAAUGUUUACAAAGAGCUUCUUCUGGAUGGUGUUUGAAUGCACACAUGCAUGAGAACAAGUUUAUUUUGCCACUACAUUUGAAUGAAACCUUGAUUAUAAAAUUCAAGGUUUAUAAUAUUAACAUUUUUUCCCUCCAAAAUUUGAAUAUGUUUACUCUUUAUCCUUGGGAAUUUACUUUUUGGUGGAAAAGUCUGUAAUUAGCUUGGUAUUUAUUUCUUAGUACACAAACGCAUGUAUUUGCUUGGAUGCCAGUAGAUAUUUUUUAUUCCUAUAAUUCAGACAUGUUGUUAGCACUCCCGCACUUCCUUAAUUUUAUCUCGACAAUGACAGGCUUUUUGACCUCUGAAUUCAAGUUGUACAUUCUAGUUUGCCAUUCAUCAAUCAGUCUCCAGUUAAUGACUGCAUUUGCUCCAAUUAUUCUUGCCCUUGACUUGACUCUGGUGAAGGAAGCGUUUGUAAUUCUCAUGUUGGGACUCUGUCCUCUUACUCAUAUUCACCCAUUGAGGUUUACCCCCUGUUCUUUGCUUCACAUCAUGGGAGAGAACCAUUUUUCUUCAUGUCACCAACUUGAUCUUCCACAGUGUCAAUUUCUCAGGAAAAUGGAACUAUCUGACUUCCUCCACUGAGGGCUGGAAAUUCUACCCUUGAAAUUCUAUCAAGCCAGAGAUUUUCCUUAUUUUUCUCCAGUUCUUUCUUUAUAUCCAUGCCAGCUCUGUGUAGUUCAUCACAUCAUCUUUUAAUAUCAACUCACAUGGCAGAUUGCUUUUGUUGAAACUAUGAUUUUAUUAUUAUAAAAGUUCUUCUGUAGAAAACUUUUUAAAGAAUGUUCUUUGAAUACAUUGGUACAACAUUCAAACAAACAGAAUAAUUCUUUUUUAAAAGUGAUUUAAAAAGAAAUAUAAAAAUAUAAAAGAGGAACUGUGAGAUUUGGGGGCCAGAGUGAGACACUAUCACAUUACUUUAAUAGGAGUUUCAUAAAAGAUAAGUGGCUAGAGAAUGGAUGGAGUUGUAAAUAAACAACAUUUGAAAAGA